GACGAACGCUGGCGGCGUGCUUAACACAUGCAAGUCGAACGCUGAAGCUCAGCUUUUGUUGGGUGGAUGAGUGGCGAACGGGUGAGUAACACGUGAGUAACCUGCCCCCUUCUUUGGGAUAACGCCCGGAAACGGGUGCUAAUACUGGAUAUUCACUGGUCUUCGCAUGGGGGUUGGUGGAAAGGGUUUUUCUGGUGGGGGAUGGGCUCGCGGCCUAUCAGCUUGUUGGUGGGGUGAUGGCCUACCAAGGCUUUGACGGGUAGCCGGCCUGAGAGGGUGACCGGUCACAUUGGGACUGAGAUACGGCCCAGACUCCUACGGGGGGCAGCAGUGGGGAAUAUUGCACAAUGGGCGCAAGCCUGAUGCAGCGACGCCGCGUGAGGGAUGGAGGCCUUCGGGUUGUGAACCUCUUUCGCUCAUGGUCAAGCCGCAACAAUGGUUGUGGUGAGGGUAGUGGGUAAAGAAGCGCCGGCUAACUGCGUG
rnacentral:rRNA from 1 species